GCCUGAUAAGUCAUAGGUGAAAGCCCUCGGCUUAACCGAGGAAUUGCCUAUGAUACUGUCGGGCUUGAGUACUGGAGAGGGGAGUGGAAUUCCUGGUGUAGCGGUGAAAUGCGUAGAUAUCAGGAGGAACACCGGUGGCGAAGGCGGCUCCCUGGACAGAUACAGACACUGAGGCGCGAAAGCGUGGGUAGCAAACAGGAUUAGAUACCCUGGUAGUCCACGCCCUAAACGAUGGGUACUAGGUGUGAGGGCUAUUUAAUGCCCUCGUGCCGAAGCUAACGCAUUAAGUACCCCACCUGGGAAGUACGGCCGCAAGGUUGAAACUCAAAGGAAUUGACGGGGGCCCGCACAAGCAGUGGAGCAUGUGGUUUAAUUCGAAGCAACGCGAAGAACCUUACCAGGGCUUGACAUCCCACGAACCUGGCUGAAAGGCUGGGGUGCCCCGUGAGGGGAGCGUGGAGACAGGUGUUGCAUGGUUGUCGUCAGCUCGUGUCGUGAGAUGUUGGGUUAAGUCCCGCGACGAGCGCAACCCUUAUCCUGUGUUGCCAGCGGGUAGAGCCGGGCACUCACAGGAGACUGCCGGGGACGACCCGGAGGAAGGUGGGGAUGACGUCAAAUCAUCAUGGCCUUUAUGUCCUGGGCUACACACGUGCUACAAUGGCUGGAACAGAGGGUGGCGACCCUGUGAGGGGGAGCGAAUCCCUAAAACCAGUCUCAGUUCGGAUCGCAGGCUGCAA
rnacentral:rRNA from 1 species